AGAUCCUUGCAGGGUAGGGGGGUUUAUAAAACGAUCAGUGUCAAGGAGCUGAGGUGGAUAGGCAUGCAUAGGAAGGCCUGGCCCACCAAUGACUGUAAAAAAAAAGAUACUAUUGGUAGACUUUGACAGGCGUAACUACCAGGUAAUUUUAUGCUCAGCCUGAUUUACAAUGGCUGACAGUGAUGCUACUGGAGUGAUAGCGCAUGUGUAUUUACCUAUGGAUAAGCAAGUGUUGGAUCUGGAUAUGUGCUGAGCUCUGAGGGCGACUUGAUGAGUUGCAUUCGGUGAAGGAGGCUGGUUUGAGUCUGUCCUUGCUCUGAAUUUGCUCCGGUUCUGAUGUGAACUGACGUCGAAAUUUGGACGUGCUAGCUGCCUGCUGGAAUUGUUCUUCCCCUCCAAUGAUGGGUUGUUGCACAGGGGCGGAAUGGCAGACGUGUUGCACCGUGACUGGUUGCCGAGAUUCCCGUGGGCCCCUGUCACGUGGCAGUGGAUAAGGUGACCGAAUGUGAGUGGAUCCAUGACAUGCUCUUGGUACAGAAGAGUUGAUGAAGUUGAAGUUGCAUUUUUUCCCCUCUUGUUUUUAUGGUCCGUGGUCUUCGUCAGUUUGUCCGGUAUGGAUGGCCUUUGAUUUGGUGACUAGUGCUACACUUGCACCGGCGAGUUGAUGGGUUCGCUGGAAUCCGCGGCGGUAGUGAUCUGUCUCCGAUCGUCGUGGUCCUCGGGUAUUUGUGCGUGCGGUGUGGUAGUUAAUCAGUAACGCCACUGACCGCUGCUUUCUACUGUUGUGGUGUGUUUUUUUUUUUUUGUCCGUGUAAAAUUUUGAAAUCCGGCGAGGAUUGAACUGAAUUUCUACAAAAUUUCUGCAAAAUCCUUACGGGGUCCCCUCGGCUUGUUGCA